rnacentral:rRNA from 1 species
GCACAGCUGGGUAGUCACGUUUGGAACAGAUAACCGCUGAAAGCAUCUAAGCGGGAAACUGACUUCAAGAUAAGUAUUCUUUAAGACUCCUUCGAGCCUAGGAGGUUGAUAGGUUGGGGGUGUAAGGGCUGCGAGGCCUUUAGCUGACCAAUACUAAUAAGUCGAAGUUUUAACCUU